AUCCAUAUCUUUCCUGUGCUGAGGACACCUGAGCUGGAAGCAGUGGAGGGUCUCUUGAACAUGGAGUUAAAGCAGCAGAAUCACCUACUGGUCACUCUUGUGAUGCAGGCUGAGUGAGAAUAGUAUCACUUUGUGAAGACACUACAAAAAAAAUAAUUUCAGGAGUCCUCUUGUCAUCUACAAGAAGAAGGAUUCACAGAUGUUUUAGCUGCAGGUCUAUAGGAAAGGUUUGUACAGUGCUGUUGUGAAAUCAAGGAUUUCCUGGACAAGGCAGUCUUUCUAUGAGGGCUGCAACAACGUCCUUUGAACAGGCUUGCCAAAAGCUUAGUGAAGCUGACACUGCUCUUCUUUUCCUCUCACCAAUGGCUAGAAUCCAGAAAGUUUCUUCAGAAUAGAAUAAAUAUUGUCAGAGAUAAGCAAGAAGAGAUUAUGAGACACUUAUUCUGGUCAAGUUUCCAUAAACUUCAAAAAUCCGAAUGGUGGUUUCUGUUGGGGAUUUUUAUUAAUAAUACCCAGGCUCUAAAACCUCAUGUCUAACAUGUUUCUUCCACACACAUCACCUUAAUUCCCCUCAGCCUUUUCACUUUCUCCCUGCUGUUUCGAUAUUGCAUUUGUCUGCACUGAAAUUGAAGCUGCCAAGGAUGGUUUUCUAUAGCAUUAGUUAACAUGGUUAUGCCAGU